rnacentral:rRNA from 1 species
UACGUAGGGGGCAAGCGUUGUCCGGAUUUAUUGGGCGUAAAGCGCGCGUAGGCGGCGCGGUAUGUCGUGCGUGAAAUCUCCCGGCUUAACUGGGAGGGCCGUGCGAAACUGCCGGGCUUGAGGUCAGAAGGGGAAAGUGGAAUUCCGGGUGUAGUGGUGGAAUACGUAGAUAUCCGGAGGAACACCAGCGGCGAAGGCGGCUUUCUGGUCUGAUACUGACGUGAGGC